rnacentral:rRNA from 1 species
UAGAGAUAGCUGGUUAUUCAGGAAAAGGAUAUUAGUCCAACUUUAAAUCUUCACAUAUUACCAAAUAUACCAACAGAUUUAAAAUUCAUUCAAAUAAGGUUCAGCCUAUUUGAAACAGGGUACAACCUAUACCAUUGGGUAAUGUUUUACUAACAUGAUCAAGUUGGCCUAAGAGCAGCCACCUUUAAAAAAGCGUCAUAGCUUUAUCAUAUUUAUCACCAAUACCUCACAAAACUCAAAACCCCUCACUCAUACUGAAUGACUUCAUACACAUAUGAAAAACCUUAUGUUAGAACUAGUAACAAGAAUAAUUAUUCUCCUAAACGUAAGUGUAAGCCGGACUGAACCACUCACCGGCAUUUACCGCCAAUGAACUAAAAGUAAUAACCACACAAGAAAACCUUACUUUUAAAAGCGUUAACCUUACACUAGAAUUUUUCUGGAAAGAUUAAAAAGAGAGGAAGGAACUCGGCAAAUAUUAACCCCGCCUGUUUACCAA